GCGUGUGUCGGCUAACGGUAAGCCCUUUGCCUUCCAAGCGGAUAAUGCGGGUUCGAAUCCCGCCGCACGCUCCA
rnacentral:tRNA from 1 species